GAUGAACGCUGGCGGCGUGCCUUAAGCAUGCAAGUCGAACGGCGGCACAGAGGAGCUUGCUCCUUGGGUGGCGAGUGGCGGACGGGUGAGGAAUACAUCGGAAUCUACUCUGUCGUGGGGGAUAACGUAGGGAAACUUACGCUAAUACCGCAUACGACCUACGGGUGAAAGCAGGGGAUCUUCGGACCUUGCGCGAUUGAAUGAGCCGAUGUCGGAUUAGCUAGUUGGCGGGGUAAAGGCCCACCAAGGCGACGAUCCGUAGCUGGUCUGAGAGGAUGAUCAGCCACACUGGAACUGAGACACGGUCCAGACUCCUACGGGAGGCAGCAGUGGGGAAUAUUGGACAAUGGGCGCAAGCCUGAUCCAGCCAUACCGCGUGGGUGAAGAAGGCCUUCGGGUUGUAAAGCCCUUUUGUUGGGAAAGAAAUCCAUCUGGUUAAUACCCGGGUGGGAUGACGGUACCCAAAGAGUAAGCACCGGCUAACUUCGUGCCAGCCGCCGCCGUAA
rnacentral:rRNA from 1 species